rnacentral:rRNA from 1 species
UACGGAGGAUCCAAGCGUUAUCCGGAUUUAUUGGGUUUAAAGGGUGCGUAGGUGGCCUAUUAAGUCAGGGGCGAAAGACGGUAGCUUAACUAUCGCAGUGCCUUUGAUACUGAUGGGCUUGAAUACAGAUGAAGUGGGCGGAAUGUGACAAGUAGCGGUGAAAUGCAUAGAUAUGUCACAGAACACCGAUUGCGAAGGCAGCUCACUAAAUUGUGAUUGACACUGAGGCACGAAAGCGUGGGGAUCAAACAGG